AUUUAGAUUUUUCCAGACUUCUUUGGAACCUGUUCUCACAUCUUGGGCACCGGGGAUGCAGACAUGAGGAGAUGCAGUUCUAGUUUGAGCUCGCCAUUAAUUUUCUGGUUCUCUUCCUCAGGUACUCAGGAGUCUUGUGCUGAAAUCAAAACCGCAACACCUUGUUGCUGGCUGUCUUGGUGUUAAAGCUCAUGAGGGAACCCCUGGCUUGCUGGGCUUCAGAACAAAAUGAGGGCCUCUUUGACCGGAUUUUAUACCUUAGUCCCCAGUUGCUAAUGGAAGAGGACAGUCUACAAAAGAAGAGAAAGCGUCAUUCCUGGGACUUUCAGUUACUGAAAUCACGGUGCAGAGCGCAAAGUGAGAGAAGAUUCUCUCAAGGAUCGGGGUAUAUCAUUUUCCAGUUAAUAAAAUCUGCCAGUGGACCCAGGGGAAGCAAUCAUGUGAGAUACCUGGAUUGGUUUACUGGACCUGGCACAGCAUUGUAACAACCACUAGGGGGCCACUUCAAAAUGCUGCCCUGCACCUGUGCAGGGGGUGGGGCUGCUUUGUUUUCCAAAAGGGGUUUAAGGUCUGCUUGAAAAUUUUUUAAAAAUUAAAAAGAAACAAAUAACAAUGAGGUCCACGUCAUAUCACUUUUUGUUAUAUAUACCUGAUAAGAUAUGUUAAAUUAAUGGACAUUUUGAGUUAAUUCUGAGUGUUCUGAUAACUGCCAAAAUGGGAAGUAUCUUGACUUCAUGGUGAAUAACAACAAGAAUCAUACAAGCUCAUCUGCAGAGACAUAGUGCCACUUCAGUGUCACAAACUCAAACACGCACCCAUUGACUCUUGGCUACAAGAGAUAUGGGAUAACAUACCUGGCAAAACUUUCAGUUAGGAUUUUGUAGACAGCACAUUCAUGUUGCUGAAAUGGUGUUUUGUAUCCGUUGUUUGUGAAAGUUGUUUAAUGGCAUUAAAGCAUAGCUCAGGGAAGCCAUCGGCUCAGGUAUAUUGCUUCCUAGUGAUCGUGCUUAAUGCAAGGAUUAAAUUCAGAGGAUUUAUGAGAAUGGCUGUGGAAAUGCCCAUUACGUUAUUUCUCUGACAUAGACAAGGCUUAAAAUGAUCCAUUGGUAAAUACUGAGAGUUUACUUUUGAUAUUUAUCUGAUAAAAUGCUGGUCCCAAAAUACGUAUUUUUUUGGAUAGAUGUUUUGUACAUAGAAAAAAAAAAAACAUCUAAAACUGAUCCAGCUGCAUUUUAUGUCCACUACAAGGAAGUUAAGCCUGAAAUCCAUGCUAGUUUUCAGAGGGAUCCUCACUGGCCUAUGAUUUCUGUCUCCUAGGACUUUGUUUUUUGAUCCUUUUAUUUUACUUAAAUUUUUAUAGAAACUAGAUAAACAGCCUCCGUCAGCCAGGAAAAUCUGGAAAUUUAAAUAUAUUUAUACUUCUUGCCCAAAUCCACAGUUCAUCAAAAAUUGAUCAAGAUGUUUUUAUAGAGGAAAUGUCAACAUAGUACAUGUAGUUUUUUUUUUUUUUUUUUGACAGGCAGAGUUAGACAGUGAGAGAGAGAGACAGAGAGAAAGGUCUUCCUUCCAUUGUUUUUCUCAAGCUAUUUUUUAUUUUUUCAACUUUUAUUUAAUAAAUAUAAAUUUUCAAAGUACA
ensembl:lncRNA